rnacentral:rRNA from 1 species
GACGAACGCUGGCGGCGUGCCUAAUACAUGCAAGUCGAACGAGAGCGACCGGUGCUUGCACUGGUCAAUCUAGUGGCGAACGGGUGAGUAACACGUGGGUAACCUGCCCAUCAGAGGGGGAUAACAUUCGGAAACGGAUGCUAAAACCGCAUAGGUCCUUUAACCGCAUGGUUGAAGGAGGAAAAGAGGCGCAAGCUUCUGCUGAUGGAUGGACCCGCGGUGCAUUAGCUAGUUGGUGAGGUAACGGCUCACCAAGGCCGUGAUGCAUAGCCGACCUGAGAGGGUGAUCGGCCACACUGGAACUGAGACACAGUCCAGACUCCUACGGGAGGCAGCAGUAGGGAAUCUUCCGCAAUGGGCGAAAGCCUGACGGAGCAACGCCGCGUGAGUGAUGAAGGUCUUCGGAUCGUAAAACUCUGUUAUUAGGGAAGAACAUAUGUGUAAGUAACUGUGCACAUCUUGACGGUACCUAAUCAGAAAGCCACGGCUAACUACGUGCCAGCAGCCGCGGUAAUACGUAGGUGGCAAGCGUUAUCCGGAAUUAUUGGGCGUAAAGCGCGCGUAGGCGGUUUUUUAAGUCUGAUGUGAAAGCCCACGGCUCAACCGUGGAGGGUCAUUGGAAACUGGAAAACUUGAGUGCAGAAGAGGAAAGUGGAAUUCCAUGUGUAGCGGUGAAAUGCGCAGAGAUAUGGAGGAACACCAGUGGCGAAGGCGACUUUCUGGUCUGUAACUGACGCUGAUGUGCGAAAGCGUGGGGAUCAAACAGGAUUAGAUACCCUGGUAGUCCACGCCGUAAACGAUGAGUGCUAAGUGUUAGGGGGUUUCCGCCCCUUAGUGCUGCAGCUAACGCAUUAAGCACUCCGCCUGGGGAGUACGACCGCAAGGUUGAAACUCAAAGGAAUUGACGGGGACCCGCACAAGCGGUGGAGCAUGUGGUUUAAUUCGAAACAACGCGAAGAACCUUACCAAAUCUUGACAUCCUUUGACAGCUCUAGAGAUAGAGCCUUCCCCUUCGGGGGACAAAGUGACAGGUGGUGCAUGGUUGUCGUCAGCUCGUGUCGUGAGAUGUUGGGUUAAGUCCCGCAACGAGCGCAACCCUUAAGCUUAGUUGCCAUCAUUAAGUUGGGCACUCUAAGUUGACUGCCGGUGACAAACCGGAGGAAGGUGGGGAUGACGUCAAAUCAUCAUGCCCCUUAUGAUUUGGGCUACACACGUGCUACAAUGGACAAUACAAAGGGCAGCGAAACCGCGAGGUCAAGCAAAUCCCAUAAAGUUGUUCUCAGUUCGGAUUGUAGUCUGCAACUCGACUACAUGAAGCUGGAAUCGCUAGUAAUCGUAGAUCAGCAUGCUAUGGUGAAUACGUUCCCGGGUCU